AAAUAAGUUACUAAGGGCACCAGGUGGAUGCCUUGACGCUAGGAGGCGAUGAAAGACGUGGUAGGCUGCGAUAAGUCUCGGUGAGGAGCCAAACAUCCUUUGACCCGGGAAUUUCUGAAUGGGGAAACCCGGCGGGAGUCAUGUCCCGUCACCUUGAACUGAAUACAUAGGUUCAAUGGAGCUAACGCAGGGAAGUGAAACAUCUCAGUACCUGCAGGAAAGUAAAUCAAACGAGACUCCCCCAGUAGCGGCGAGCGAACGGGGACUAGCCCAAACCAGAUAGAUACGUUUAUCUGGGGUUGUAGGGCCGGCAUAAUGGAUCUGUGAUUAGGCAGGAGAACACAGCUGGAAAGCUGGGCCAAAGCGGGUGAUAGCCCCGUAUCUGAAACCGAAUAGCAGCCAGGCCGGUACCUGAGUACUGCGAGGCACGUGAAACCUCGUGGGAAUCCGGGAGGACCAUCUUCCAAGGCUAAGUACUACCUAGCGAUCGAUAGCGAACCAGUACCGUAAGGGAAAGGUGAAAAGAACCCCUGUUAGGGGAGUGAAAAGAACCUGAAACCUGUUGCCUACAAGCUGUGGGAGCAUCUUUAUGGUGUGACCGCGUGCCUUUUGCAUAAUGAGUCAGCGAGUUAAUCUGUACAGCGAGGUUAAGCGAGAGUGUAGCCGUAGCGAAAGCGAGUCUUAAUAGGGCGUAUAGUUGUGCGGAUUAGACCCGAAACCGAGUGAUCUAUCCAUGGCCAGGUUGAAGGUGGGGUAAAACCCUCUGGAGGACCGAACCCGUUAGGGCUGAAAACCUUUGGGAUGAGCUGUGGAUAGGGGUGAAAGGCCAAUCAAACUCGGUGAUAGCUGGUUCUCUCCGAAAUAUAUUGAGGUAUAGCCUCAGGAAUUGUCUUGCGGAGGUAAAGCACUGAAAGAGCUAGGGGUCCUACCAGAUUACCAAACUCUAUCAAACUCUGAAUGCCGCAUAGAUGUAUCCUGGGAGUCAGACUGCGGGUGCGAAGAUUCGUAGUCGAGAGGGAAAGAGCCCAGACCAACAGCUAAGGUCUCCAAAUUCAUACUCAGUGGUUAAGGUAGUAGAGUCGUUCAGACAGCCAGGAAGUUGGCUUAGAAGCAGCCAUCUUUUAAAGAAAGCGUAAUAGCUCACUGGUCUAAUGACUCCGCGCCGAAAAUGUAACGGGGCUAAGUAUGGUACCGAAGCUUUGGAAUCUACUUUUAGUAGAUUGGUAGGAGAGCGUUCUCAUCGGGCUGAAGCUGCCGCGUAAGCGUGUGGUGGACUGGUGAGAAGUGAUUAUGCUGACAUAAGUAACGAUAAAACGGGUGAAAAACCCGUUCGCCGUAAACCCAAGGUUUCCUGGGUAAAGUUAAUCUUCCCAGGGUUAGUCGGUCCCUAAGGCAAGGGCGAAAGCCGUAGUCGAUGGAAAACGGGUUAAUAUUCCCGUACUUGUAAAGUUGUGCGAUGGAGGGACGCAGAAGGAUAGGUCAUCCGGUUAUUGGUAUACCGGUGUAAGUGCGUAGGCUUGGAGGAUAGGCAAAUCCGUUCUCCUUUAAGGCCGAGACACGAUGCCGUGAGCGUAUGCUCUGAAGUGAUUGAUUCCAUGCUGCCUAGAAAAGCUUCUAAGUUUAGACUUUGCAAACCGUACCGCAAACCAACUCAGGUGGGUGGGUAUAAAUGUACCAAGGCGCUCGAGAGAACUCUGGUUAAGGAACUCGGCAAAAUAACCCCGUAACUUCGGGAGAAGGGGUGCUCCUUAUGGUGAAGUAUUUACUUUCUGAGCUGUGAGGAGCCGCAGAGAAAUGGCGGUGGCGACUGUUUACUAAAAACAUAGGGCUAUGCUAAGUCGUAAGACGCUGUAUAUGGCCUGACGCCUGCCCGGUGCCGGAAGGUUAAGAGGAGAGGUUAGCGCAAGCGAAGCUUUGAAUUGAAGCCCCGGUAAACGGCGGCCGUAACUAUAACGGUCCUAAGGUAGCGAAAUUCCUUGUCGGGUAAGUUCCGACCUGCACGAAUGGCGUAACGAUCUCCGCACUGUCUCAACCAGAGACUCGGUGAAAUUGAAUUGGCGGUGAAAAUGCCGUCUACCCGCAGUGUGACGGAAAGACCCUGUGCACCUUUACUAUAGCUUGACAUUGGGUUUUGAGCUGGCAUGUGUAGGAUAGGUGGGAGGCUUUGAAGCGUGUACGCCAGUAUGCGUGGAGCCACCCUUGAAAUACCACCCUUGUCAGUUUAAGGCCCUAAUCCAUAGCCGUCAUCCGGCAUGGAGACAUUGUCUGGUGGGUAGUUUGACUGGGGCGGUCGCCUCCCAAAUGAUAACGGAGGCAUGCAAAGGUUCCCUCAGCCUGAUUGGAAACCAGGCGCCGAGUGCAAACGCAUAAGGGAGCUUGACUGCAAGAGUGACAGCUCGAGCAGGUACGAAAGUAGGCGUUAGUGAUCCGGUGGUCCCGAAUGGAAGGGCCAUCGCUCAUUGGAUAAAAGGUACGCCGGGGAUAACAGGCUGAUCGCAUCCAAGAGUCCAUAUCGACGAUGCGGUUUGGCACCUCGAUGUCGACUCAUCACAUCCUGGGGCUGAAGCAGGUCCCAAGGGUACGGCUGUUCGCCGUUUAAAGUGGUACGUGAGUUGGGUUUAAAACGUCGUGAGACAGUUUGGUCCCUAUCUACUGUGGGCGUAGGAUAUUUGAGAGGGUCUGUUCCUAGUACGAGAGGACCGGAAUGGACGAACCACUGGUGUCCCUGUUGUUUCGCCAGAAGCAUCGCAGGGUAGCUAAGUUCGGAAGGGAUAACCGCUGAAAGCAUCUAAGCGGGAAACCUGCCUCAAGAUAAGAUAUCCCUGAAGACCCCUGGAAGACCACCAGGUUGAUAGGCGGGAUGUGUAAGCGCAGUGAUGCGUUCAGCUUACCCGUACUAAUAGGUCGUUCGGCUUAUCUCU
rnacentral:rRNA from 1 species